CCAUACAGAGCAGGAAGAUGAGGAGGUAAGAGACAAUGAAGACAGCUGCCACUGAAGGCUGAUGGUGGUAGAAGUCCACGUAGGAGACAUUGCCUUCUAAGUAGAGUGGAAAGAAGUCUUUAGCAACAGCCGAAGAGGCUUCAGAAAUAUGCAAUUGGCAGAAGUGCAGAAACCAUUCCUGAUAAAAUAGUGUCUGGGCUUGUGGCAUUUAACAUGACAAGCAAAACAGUGUUUCUAUCAAGAAAAGAUUUCAUUACAGAAUACUGUUAAAGUCUUGGAAAUGUUUAUAAGGUUGAGCACAGGGUGGAAAUGGAAAUUUGCCUUUCUAUCCAUCAUGAAGAUGUAUGACGUGCCACCGAGGAGACAACAAAAGAGAAUUGAAUAAACAGAUAAGUGAUAGGGUUUUAGUUGUUGGCUAGGAGGGUUCUUAGUUACACAAUAAAUGAAGAUUACUCAGCAGCAAAGGCACUUAAAAAAAUGUUUUCUGUGUAUGUGUUAUGUUUAGGUGGCUAUUAACUAUUGUUUCUCGUUAUAAUGGGUUUUAUUGCUGCUUAACACUUAGCCUUUAAGCUUCCAAGUUUAUAGUUUCUCUAUUGAUGUGUCACAGGCUACUUUACGUUUUAACUAAAACCUCAGCCAGUUGUUCCUUGAAAUAAGAUUAAAGUGAGAUUCUACCACACAAGGUACUUUUAUCCACCCACUUUACUAAGAAACAUAAGAUAUAUUAGCUCCCUUAUAUUUGCAGGUGGCUUUUGUCAUUUUCUCAACAGCUCCCCCAAGAUCACUUGCAUCCCAAGCCCCAGGGUCAUGAAUUUCCUUGUGGCAUUUUUUGCAACAAGUCAAAGGAGUCUUUUUGCCCUAUUUCUGCCUGACAGCAGCAGAAUGAGAAACAAGGAUGUUACUACCACUAGUGUCAGCACCACAGGAGGGAAGAAAUUACAGAUAAGCACUCAUUAAGUAAACUGCAGGGAAGUUACAGAACCCAUUCAGCAGAGAACCUAGCUUGCUUGUGGCAAGAGACCUUUUGCCUGUGCCAUAAAUUAAUAGCUACUGAGUCAGAAAACCCAGCACCUAUAGGAGAGAAUCUGUUUAGAAGAUGCCCAACAUCUAAUUGAAAGCUAUCCAUUUUUUACUGAGGCUGAACUAAGGCACUCCCUUGACCUGGUGCUUGGUACACUUCUCAAGACAUCUGUCACUUCAGGAGAGGACCCCUUCAGACGGGUUCCCCACCAUCAAUCACCCUACUGUUACCAAUCUAACACUAUCAAGAGUGUUAAGCUUGCUACAGGAGGAAUGAUAUAUGAGCUGUGACUGUGCAGAAAGCAAAGUGUACUCAUUAUGUCUUAGAUCUGCUCAGACAUACAUUCAGUAGAGAAACAAUGAGAUUAUUAAAUUCAGUGAGUCUUCAGGGCUCUUAACAGUGUUAAGUGUUACAGAAAAAGACUAAUACAGCAGAAGUAGCAUUCUUCCUGAUGACUAGUGCAUGUGUAACCACCAAAUGCAACAAGGUUAGCAGUGUUUUGAAAGCAGCCUAGAAAGCCUUUCAGAUUGCUCUCUUCUCCUUAGUUCAAGUUGGCUGAUCAAAAAGAUCUACUGUUCCUGUGAGCCAGACACCAAGCAUCAAGUGCUUGGUGUCCUCUGGUAUUCCCUUGUACCUUGCUUGUAUUUGCCUGUUCUUUAUUAAUACAGUAAUUGAACUCAAAAAGGGGAAAACAAGUUCUUCAAAUAGUGACUUUCCAGCUGUGAUGGGAAAUUGACCAGCGACCUCAGUAAAUACAGUCUGAGCUUUUUCCACUUGGAAGAUAUUCCAGUGAUCACAUAGCAGUGCCCUGUGUCCUUAGAUGUGAGUGGCCCACAGCACUAGUGGCAUGAACACACCUAGCAGUUUUAGUGGCAAGAAAGAGAAGCCAGAAAGUAUUCUUAAGAUGGCAUUUUUUCACCUGGAAAAUAAGAGAUGCUCCCUCACGAAUUCUGAACUCUUGGUGAAGCCAGACUCUUAAGAAGCUAUCCUGGCAUGGGGAUAUUCACUGGGCGUCAGCAAAUACACUCUGACCAGUGCAGAAGAGCAUGAUCCCAGACACUUGAGACUCAGCAUCUUCAUUGCCUUGCUGUGAUGUUACACUGGAUAGCCUUGAAAACUGGAUUUCAGCUGCAGGAGACUACAUCAGAGGUGCGGGGAGGGAAAACGGUGGUAACCACGCUUAGCUGUGGCUCCACCACACCAUGAAGGCGGCUGUUAGCUUCCUGCUGCUGCUUUUCGUAGCAACUCACGCCGAACACCGAGGUAGACCAUAUGUUCGGGACAAAGUCUGCCAAGAGUUCAAGACCAUGGGGAAGGAUGACUUCCGAACCAUGACCCUCAUCGUGAACAGCAGGAAGUUCUCUAAUGCCACCUUCGAGGAGAUCAGCCACCUUGUGCAUGAGAUUGUCUCACUGGCGGAGACCUGCUGUGCCGAUAGUGUUGACCCUUCCUGCUAUGAUGCUGGGUCUUCAGCCCUGUCAGCCAAGUCCUGCAGCCCUGACUCGCCUUUCCCUGCCCAUCCGGGGAUAGCUGCCUGCUGCCUCCACCAAGGCCUGGAGCAGAAGCUGUGCCUGGCUGCCCUAGAGCACCCACCACGCCAGCUGCCCCACUAUGUUGAGCCUUCCAAUGAAGAACUCUGCCAGGCAUUCAAGAAGGAUCCCAAGGACUUUGCUGACAGGUUCCUCCACGAGUAUGUCAGUAGCUACGGCCAGGCACCCUUGCCCGUGCUCUUGGGCUCCACCAGGAACUUCCUCUCCAUGGUCUCCACCUGCUGCAUAUCCCCAUCGCCCACUGUCUGCUUCCUGAAGGAGAAACUGCAAAGAAAAACCCUUUCCCUACUUACACUGAUGUCAAACAGAGCUUGCUCCCGCUUAACAGGAUAUGGGAAGGACAAAAUGAAGUUCAGCUACCUGACCAUGCUUGCCCAGAAGAUACCAAGCGCUUCAUUUGAGGACCUUUCCCCUCUGGCAGAGGAUGCUGCUGAGGUGUUCUCCCAGUGCUGUGACUCGGUGGCUGAAGACUGCAUUCAGCAGAAGUUGUCAGAGCACACCACAAAGGUCUGUGCCACGCUGUCAGCCAAAGACAAAAGGUUUGCCGACUGCUGUGCAGGAAAAAACAUCAUGGAAAACUACUUCUGCAUCUCUGCCUUGCAACCAUCUGUGGUCCCCAAACUGCCUGAGCUGCAGACGCCAACCAACAAGCAAUUGUGUGAUGGUAACGGGGCCCUCCACACCACAAGGUACAUGUUUGAGCUGGCACGGAGACACACCCAUGUCCCUGACGUCUUCCUUGGCAAGCUGUAUGAUACCUCUGAAAAUUUCAUCAAGGAGUGCUGCUCUGCCAAGGAUUCUUCCACCUGCCUUGACAGCAAGCGACAGCAAGUGGGAGCAGAGCUGCCUGCCUUCCUGGAAAAAGCCAACCAGCUCUGUGGGCAGUACACUGAGCUGAAUUUCCUUGACUUCAAGAAGAGGCUGAGGGACAGCAUCAGGCAGACCAGGCCAGAUGCUAGCCCUGAGCUGCUGGCAGAGCUGACAGACCAGAGAGCCGAUUUCGCCUCCACAUGCUGCCCAGCGAACUCGCCGCCACUUUAUUGUGCCGCACAGGUGACCACAGAGCUGGCAAGUAUGUGCAAGCAGGGCCCCUGUGUGCUGGUCUAGGUGUGGGACAGCGAAAAACAAGAAAAGCCACUACAUUGGCUGUCCUGGAGCCACCACAGGGCUAAGAGCAGAGCUGUAGAAGUGGGCUUCACAGUGUGACCCCAGAGCAAUCCCAGGCAUUACCAAGGACCUGAUGCAGGAUGGCAGCUGUCAGUCCCCGGUGUCCAUAGUGCACCUCAGGGCACUACUGCUCAUGGAACAGUUGAGGCAAGAUGGAGACCGGCAUUCCCUGAAACAUCAGCUCCUCCUAGGUGGCUCUGUACUGCUGUAGCAUCUUGUCAUGUCCACCUGUGGAAGCAGAGACAACAGAUCUGAAGGUCCUUCUGGCCGAGGGGAAAGAUCUCCUGAAGCCUGUGGUAUGGAUCCUCCUCGAGAAGCUGCAGGACCCAGUUGCACUAUGCACGAGAUGCCAGUGAGAGGCCUUGGCAGUGCUGUCAGUGGCUUGCUCAAGCAGCAGCAAGAGGAGCUUCACUUCUUGGCCUUCAGCCUGUACAUGGCCCUGGCCGCCUCCACUGAAGGGACAACCACGUUCUUCAGCAGAGAAGGGAGGGAGACGUGGGUCAGCAUCUUCCUGCACUUCUGGGACCCCAGCCUUGCAGUCUCCAGUGCAUGCAGGACAGCCCUCUGUGACUGUGCUCCUUUUGUGGAGCUGAGGGGGCUGAAGAGAGCAAUCACGAAUUCCAUUGGAUGUAUUGUGGCUGAGAUGGAAAGCAGGAUUUGCACUUUCUUGGAGAUGCAAGCACCAGAGAUGCUGGAUGCUAUCUGCAGCACCCAUAGGAGUCACCUCCCGGGUUGCAGUCAGGAACAGCAGGAUGAGGACACCUUCGCAACCCCAGGUUUGUAACAAAUGGAUCCAAAUCCAAACUUCCAGGUUUGCUGAGCACAGAGCAGCAGUCUCCAGCCCCACACCAUUGUUUCAAAAGAUAAAGAAGAGCUCAGAUAACUUCUCCAGCAGAAGGAAUGCAUACGACCCCGACACGUGAUCUGGUCUCGUCAUGAUACCCCAAGCGCUACACAGCUGUCAGUGUCAACACAUUGUCCAGGACAAUGGGUACAGCAGAAGCUAUUGGAUAGAACAGCACCACCUCUGACGCCAGAAAUGUUUGAGCUGCAGAUUGUGGACAAGAGGGAAAUUGCAUCAGCUAAUCCUGUCACCACAUCCUUAUGCUUUGCCCACAUUUGCCAGCCUAACAGGAACAUGCUGACUCCUGCAGAGAAUGAUCAUCUGGGUAAGUGCAAAUUUAAAAAAGCUAAGACUUUCUAUGAAGUAUGUGUGAACCUCUGUGAAGGGUGUGUGAAAUUGACAGCUACCCUGGUUUGCUAGUUCCCAUCCACUGCCAGCAGCCUCUGCUGAGAAGUGAGGCUGCUCCUGAGAGAAGACAAAAAUCACAGUUUCAGAUGUGACACAGGUCUGUUCAACUUCGAUUUCUGAACAGGUUACAUUUCACUCCUCGAAAAGCAUCAGUAAAUUACUUCAGUGGAGUACUUCUGGCAUUAAAGCACACUUUUAGAGCCAUAUAUCCUAAGUCUCUUUGGGUUUAUAAGGGCUGGCCCUGUGUUUCUGUGCAUGUAUUGGUGGGACCUUUUUGAGCAUCCUCUCCAUCCAGAGACCUGCCAGACAUUUGGCCUUAACAAGGGUAACGAUGACAACAGUGAUCUAGGAAUCUUCAUUCAGUCAAACCAAAUGGAAUACAUAAAAUUAAAAAAAACAACACAACUCUCCAAUAAAUGCAUAAAGUUACUUUAUUUUCAGUAUACAUUUAAUUUUGAAAAAUAUAAAUGCUAAAAUAUCUCAUCAUCUUCAUCUUUUGAUUCCAUAAAAGUCACAAUAGAAAGCUUCAUAAAACUGUAAAAUACUAUGUUAUAAGGAAUUUCAUGUUUUAUAUUAGUGGAAAAAAAAAUUAAUAUAUUGAAAUGUUUUCUGCUUUUUUCGUUUUUGUUCCAC